GCGUCCCUGCGUUGAACGAAUGGCAAUUAUGUUGCCUGAGCCGAUGCUUGUCGAAUGGGAGCUGAGCUACCUUAGCUGUGUGAAUCCCUCUUUUGGGAUACCUGAUGCGAAGGUGCUGCGCCCACCUCUUGUUAGAGGGUUCGACAACAAACUGCCUAACGUCAACGCGGGGACACC
rnacentral:other from 1 species